rnacentral:rRNA from 1 species
AUACAGAGGUUGCGAGCGUUAAUCGGAAUUACUGGGCGUAAAGCGCGCGUAGGUGGUUUGUUAAGUUGGAUGUGAAAGCCCAGGGCUCAACCUUGGAACUGCAUCCAAAACUGGCAGACUAGAGUGCAGCAGAGGAUAGUGGAAUUUCAGGUGUAGCGGUGAAAUGCGUAGAUAUCUGAAGGAACAUCAGUGGCGAAGGCGACUGUCUGGGCUGAUACUGACACUGAGGUGCGAAAGCGUGGGGAGCAAACAGGAUUAGAUACCCCAGUAGUCC